AGGACGAACGCUGGCGGCGUGCUUAACACAUGCAAGUCGAACGGAAAGGCCCGCUUGCGGGUACUCGAGUGGCGAACGGGUGAGUAACACGUGGGCAACCUGCCCUCAGCUUUGGGAUAACACAAAGAAAUUUGUGCUAAUACCGGAUAAUAAACGGCCGCGCAUGUGGUUGUUUUGAAAGUUUUUCGGCUGGGGAUGGGCCCGCGGCCUAUCAGCUUGUUGGUGGGGUAAUGGCCUACCAAGGCGACGACGGGUA
rnacentral:rRNA from 1 species